rnacentral:rRNA from 1 species
GGCGAACGGGUGAGUAAUACAUGGUCAACCUACCCCCGAGACCGGGAUAGCCAUCCGAAAGGAUGGGUAAUACCGGAUAGGACCACGGCCCCGCAUGGGGCUGAGGUGAAACGGUUGGGGUCCUUCGGGACCUUCCGCUCAGGGAUGGGACCAUGCCCUAUCAGCUAGUUGGCGGGGUAACGGCCCACCAAGGCUUCGACGGGUAGCCGGCCUGAGAGGGUGUCCGGCCACACUGGAACUGAGACACGGUCCAGACUCCUACGGGAGGCAGCAGUGCUGAAUCAUUCGCCAAUGCGCGAAAGCGUGACGGUGCGACGCCGCGUGGAGGAUGAAGGCCUUCGGGUUGUAAACUCCUGUCAGGGUGCAGAAAACCGCAGAUGUGAAUAGCAGCUGCGCUGAUCACACCCAAAGGAAGCACAGGCUAACCUCGUGCCAGCAGCCGCGGUAAGACGAGGUGUGCAAGCGUUGCUCG